GUCUUGAUUGACUUUUGGUGCCUGCUGUAGAUGCUGAGAGGUGCAAGCGCAGCCUUCUCAAUUCAGCUUCAUAGAUCUCUGCAAAAAAUUACUGUUCUGUGUGAGUCUGCUCAUUUCACUGUAUAAAGAACUACAUAGACAGUAAAGCACCUUAUCCUGCUCAAUGCCACACUAACCAUGUGGGAGGAAAGGAAGUGGAAUUGCUCCAUAGCCAAAACUGCAGGGUGCUAGUUGGAAGGACACAGUGGAAUUUAAACAGUCCCUCAAGUUUAAAAUGGGUACCGAGACUUUCCAUGUAGGAGCAACUGGCAGAGUGCAAAGAAGUCAAGGCUCAGUCAUGGGUCUCGGUCCCCACAGGAGAUGGCUCAGCUCAGGCUGCUCACUGGCAUUUCACUGCUUGAAUCCCAACUGUCCCUCCUGACUUUAGUAAUUGCUCGGAUAUCUCUGACAGUAACAAUUUAUUUGAGAACUUUUUUAACUGCUGGGACAGAGGGAACACUUUAAUAGGCUCACAGAAGAGUAAUAUCCUCUAAAGAAGCUGUUGAGGAAUGUGGCUACUCACAUAUCCACCUGCAACAAGAGGUUAUUGCUAAGUUGUAACACAUUGCACAUUGUUAAAUGGACUGAAAGAUAAAUUUGAAAAUCAUCAACGUCAAAGGAUCAUGGCAUGGGUUAAAGUAACUGACCUUUUCACUAAGAUAUUGAGCACCCUUCAUGCCUCCUGGAACUGAGGAUGCUGAAGGGGUUUCUGAAGUGACCAUCUAACACAUCCGGUACUGAACACUUCAGGCUUAAUGGAGAACAGCAAUGGGACAACUUCAGGUGAUAACACCAGCUCAGUGUUUGACUGGACUCUGUUUUGUGUUAC